rnacentral:rRNA from 1 species
AGUAAAUUGGUUAAGUUAGAAAGGGCGCACGGUGGAUGCCUUGGCACUAGGAGCCGAAGAAGGACGGGACUAACACCGAUAUGCUUUGGGGAGCUGUACGUAAGCGUUGAUCCAGAGAUUUCCGAAUGGGGGAACCCACUAUCUUUAGUCGGAUAGUAUCCUUACGUGAAUACAUAGCGUGAGGAAGGCAGACCCAGGGAACUGAAACAUCUAAGUACCUGGAGGAAGAGAAAGAAAAAUCGAUUUCCUGAGUAGCGGCGAGCGAAACGGAAAGAGCCCAAACCAAGAAGCUUGCUUCUUGGGGUUGUAGGACACUCUAUACGGAGUUACAAAAGAAAGUUAUAAAUGAAGCGGUCUGGAAAGGCCCGCCAAAGACGGUAACAGCCCGGUAGUUGAAAUGGCUUUCCCUCCAGAGAGGAUCCUAAGUACGGCGGAAAACCUUAAAUUCCGCCGAAAUCCGGG